rnacentral:rRNA from 1 species
UACGUAGGGUGCGAGCGUUACUCGGAAUUACUGGGCGUAAAGCGUGCGCAGGCGGCGCCGCAAGUCAGGCGUGAAAUCCCCGAGCUUAACUUGGGAAUGGCGCUUGAAACUACGGUGCUGGAGUGUGGCAGAGGGAGGUGGAAUUCCACGUGUAGCGGUGAAAUGCGUAGAGAUGUGGAGGAACACCGAUGGCGAAGGCAGCCUCCUGGGCCAACACUGACGCUCAUGCACGAAAGCGUGGGGAGCAAACAGG